rnacentral:rRNA from 1 species
AUUGAACGCUGGCGGCAGGCCUAACACAUGCAAGUCGAGCGAGCGGCGGACGGGUGAGUAAUGUAUGGGGAUCUGCCCGAUAGAGGGGGAUAACUACUGGAAACGGUGGCUAAUACCGCAUACUAUCGGAUGAACCCAUAUGGGAUUAUCUAGUGGGUGGGGUAAAGUCUCACCUAGGCGACGAUCUCUGUCUGGUCUGGGAAGAUGACCAGCCAGACUGGAAAUGAGACACGGCCCAGACUCCUACGGGAGGCAGCAGUGGGGAAUAUUGCACGAUGGGGGCAAGCCUGAUGCAGCCAGGCCGCGUGUAUGAAGAAGGCCUUAGGGUUGUAAAGUACUUUCAGCGGGGAGGCGUUACCCGCAGAAGAAGCACCGGCUAACUCCGUGCCAGCAGCCGCGGUAAUAC